AGGCAUAGCUGUAAAGCCGGUGGAUUACAAAGGCGGAGAGCUCUCAAAUCUUAUAUAGCUCGGAGUUUUCAUCACAUCACUGGUACGGUCUUUUUU
rnacentral:sRNA from 1 species